AAGGACUUGCUGCUGUUGCCUGGUGACAGUUCUUGAAGGACUUUCUCAGGAGCUACAACAACCAGGUCAUCUUGAAAAGGUGGUAGAUCUUGAAUCACAACAUUAGCACCCCCCACUUUCCUCUUUAAAAGAGAGACAAGAAACAGGAUAAAUGGAUGCUAUGGGGGGUAACUUCAAUUUGCAGGCAACAGAACCCACCUUAGCUUCCACGUGAAAUGGGCUAUAAAACCUGGCUGAUAACUUGAAAUUCUUCCUUAGUGCCACAAAUGUCUGUCUACAUGGCCGCAAUUUGAGGUAAACCUAGUCCCCUACUUGAAAAGUCCUCUCAGUCCUUUUCCUAUCAACAUACUGCUUCAUUCUAUUUUGAGCCAUUAACAAAUUCUCCCUAAUUAGCUAAGACGUAUGCUGUCUAUUCUGGACAAAAUUAGCAACAGUGGCUACAGUAGUGGUAUCCAAGGGCAAGAAUGUCAAGGAAGUUGGCUGGUAACCAUAGAGAGCCUCAAAUGGGGACAUUUUCAAGGAAGUACAGUGGCUGGUGUUAUACCACCAUUUUGCUAAUGGUAACCAUUUUGCCCAAGAAUUUGGUUGCUGAUAACAGAGGCAUCUCAAAUACCCUUCCAGGCUCUAAUUUAACCUUUCAGACUAACCAUUUGAUUGAGGAUGGUAGGCUGAACAAUAAGCUAAUUUAGUUCCCAGCAGUUUGGAGAGUUCUUUCCAAGCCAACAAUGUACUUCCCAUAGCUAUAGGCCUCCUAGACAAAGCAUCUGCCACCUUAUUGUCCACCCCUCUCUUGUACAAAAUUCUAUAUUUGCAAACCCCGUAGUUUAGAAACCCCUCUGAAU
rnacentral:misc_RNA from 1 species